rnacentral:siRNA from 1 species
UGCCCCAUGACUCAAUCACCAC